CGGAGGAUGCAAGCGUUAUCCGGAAUGAUUGGGCGUAAAGCGUCCGUAGGUGGUUUGUAAGUCUGUGGUUAAAGCGUGUAGCUCAACUACAUAACGGCCAUGGAAACUACAAGACUUGAGUGAAGUAGGGGUAGAGGGAAUUCCCAGUGUAGCGGUGAAAUGCGUAGAGAUUGGGAAGAACACCGGUGGCGAAAGCGCUCUACUGGACUUAUACUGACACUGAGGGACGAAAGCUAGGGGAGCGAAAGGGAUU
rnacentral:rRNA from 1 species